GUGUCUACUGAAAGGAAACUGUUAGCACUCCCCUUGACAAGGAUGGAACACAUUAUGGUUAAGGAAGGCUCAACUUGACCACAUUUUUUA